rnacentral:rRNA from 1 species
AAUAUUGCACAAUGGAGGAAACUCUAAUGCAGCGACGCCGCGUGAACGAUUAAUGCUUUCGAUACGUAAAGUUCUGUCCUAGGGGACGAUAAUGACGGUGCCCUAGGAGGAAGCCCCGGCUAACUACGUGCCAGCAGCCGCGGUAAUACGUAGGGGGCAAGCGUUGUCCGGAUUUAUUGGGCGUAAAGGGUUCGCAGGCGGCCUUUUAAGUCAGGUGUGAAAGACUACAGCUCAACUGUGGUAAGCACUUGAAACUGGAAGGCUUGAGUUAAGGAGAGGAAAGUGGAAUUCCUAGUGUAGCGGUGAAAUGCGUAGAUAUUAGGAGGAAUACCAGUGGCGAAGGCGACUUUCUGGACUUAUACUGACGCUCAUGCACGAAAGCGUGGGUAGCAAACAGG